ensembl:lncRNA
UAUAUAGAAUGGAUAACAACAAAGUUCUACUAUAUAGCACAGGGGACUACAUUCAAUAUCCUAUAUUGAGAAGAAUAUGAAAAAGAAUAUAUUUGCAUAACUGAAUCGGUGUGCCAUACAGCAGAAAUUAACACUGUAAAUCAACUAUACUUGAAAAACAUUUAAAAAAAUUUUUUUCUCCAAGGUAAAAAUGAAAAAAAUCUAAGGUGGGAAGCAUAGGAACCAGCCUCACUGACAUGGCUAGGAAUUCUGUGGACAGUUCCUGCCAGUUGGGAAAAUCAUCUUCAGAGAAACAGACCUCUCCAGGCCUGUGAAAAUCCGAACAUCAGCCUUGAGUUAUCUCUUGUCUGAGUAAACACCCCCGCUCUCGGGGUGCAACUCAUUUAGAUUCUUCUCUUCUGCAAAUAAGGGGACAACAUAAGUCAUGAAACUGCUUUUACAAAUUUGGCGUAAUCUGACUUCAAUAAUCUAGAACCCAGAAAUCACCAGAAUAUUUUGUUUUUACAACUUAAUAUUUUGUCUUUACUUUUCAGAGGAUCUAUCACAGAAUGAGCCCAUAUCAACUAUUCUUGUAUCACAAGUACCUUCAGAGGCUUUAUGAACUCUGCAAUGCCUUUAGGAAACCACCAGUGAACAGAGGGACCACGGACUCCAUGCUACCGUUCUCACCAGUGACAGAAACGGCUCCACCUCUGACUCCUACUCCAUCAGGCCCCUUUACCCCACCAGGCCCCAUUACCCCUGACAGACGGGGAGACAUGUGAUUCAUGAAGUCCCACAGAGACUUCCUAGCCAAACACAGCAUUCUUCCUCCCACAUUGCUUAUCACCACAACUGAUGAUCAAAGACAUCAUCUCUCUGCUCCUUGGACCACAGCACACCCUUUUCAGUAUCCUAGAUAAAAUGGCAACGCUUCAUUAAAAAAAUGCUUUUAUCACUCCUAUUAUUCCCAAGUGGAAUGUCAUUUUCCAUCAUUAUCGACAUUUAGAGAUAGAUCAGGAAAAUGAGCAGAGGAAUCUCGGAAACAGGAUCUCUUUCUCUGAGAAGUCACAAGCUAUAGUUAAGAACCAGAGGUUCUAUGACAAAGGAAGGAAGGAAAAAGAAUUUUGGGGAGGGAUAUGCAGCCUGCAGUCUCUGCCAAACAUGGGGAGGUGAGAGGUGACAGGACCAUCCCCAGCCUACAUCCAAGCCCUUGGGAUGCUUUCCAGCAAGAGGAGAUGGCAUUUUGACCCUUUUAACUGGGAGGGAAACUGACAAAGCCAUGCAGAAAUGCACUUAAAAUUUCUUUUUGUCUUAUUUGAGAGGCAAAGUUACAAGUUUCUCCCUGAUCUGUUUAUACAGAUGUACAAAGCAAAAAGGAAGAAAGAUUUUGUGGAUAUGACUCAUUCUCCAUCUCUACAAAUACUAGGUCCACUUUUCACGAAAGAGAAUGGUAACCUUGGCACCUCUGAAUUAAGAACAAUGAUCACAGUCUAUUAGUCCUUUCUGUGCCUUCACAGUGAAAAACCACUACAUGGCAUUCAUAGGGGGCUUUGGUUUUGUUUGGGAAGUUUCCCAAAGAUCUCUCCUUACACCGGGUUACAACAGGUUAUACCUAGAAAUCAAAGGAAACGAAGUCUGCAUACAAAAGGUGUGUGUGCAUGCUACGUCUCUAAGUCGUGUCCGACUCUUUGC